UAUAGAGGUCUCAAGCGUUGUUCGGAUUCAUUGGGCGUAAAGGGUGCGUAGGCGGCGCGGUAAGUCGGGUGUGAAAUCUCGGAGCUUAACUCCGAAACUGCAUUCGAUACUGCCGUGCUUGAGGACUGGAGAGGAGACUGGAAUUUACGGUGUAGCGGUGAAAUGCGUAGAUAUCGUAAGGAAGACCAGUGGCGAAGGCGGGUCUCUGGACAGUUCCUGACGCUGAGGCACGAAGGCCAGGGGAGCGAACGGG
rnacentral:rRNA from 1 species